rnacentral:rRNA from 1 species
AUUGAACGCUGGCGGCAUGCCUAACACAUGCAAGUCGAGCGAGCGGCGGACGGGUGAGGAAUGCCUGGGAAUUGCCAACUCCAGGGGGAUAACAGUUGGCAACGACUGCUAAUACCGCAUACGCCUUGCUGGCCCAGGUGGGAUUAGCCAGUUGGUGCGGUAAUGGCUCACCAAGGCCACGGCCACUAGCUGGGCUGAGAGGGUGAUAAGACAGAAUGGAACUGAGACACGGUCCAGACUCCUACGGGAGGCAGAAGUGGGGAAUAUUGGACAAUGGGGGAAACCCUGAUGCAGCAAUGCCGCGUGUGUGAAGAAGGCCUUCGGGUUGUAAAGCACUGUCAGCGGGGAGGCGUGACUCGCAGAAGAAGCACCGGCUAACUCCGUGCCAGCAGCCGCGGUAAUUC